CCCUGGCCCAGCUGCUCGUUAAGUAUUAACGCGCUGCUUUUCCCCGAGUUUGUGCGGUGUUAGUGGUCCCAGCCGCUGGCACGGUCCUGAGGAUCCCACUGACUCACAGCACUCCACAGCCUCAGGACGUAGCCCUGGAUUAUGCUGUUUGGGGAGAUAAAGUGUCAUCCCCUGUGGUCAAAGGUCAAGGAAAGAAUGAGAAAAGCCAGUGAAGAAACUGCAUCUGUGCUGACAACACAUGGCUGCAAUAGUGUUAUAAAUGAUUCCUGUACCUUAAUGCUUAUAGAAAAGGAAAAGAGGCGCAGGUCUUCUAUGACCUAAGACAUCUAUUCUCUGGGAUGCCAGAAAACUGAUUGGGAUCAAAACCAUUAAAGAGCAAGUCAUUAGAAAUCUGAGGACAUGUUGCCUCUAUGGAGAGUCAGGACUGGCAACUGCAUACAGAACAUGCAUCUACCCCACCCCCCCACCCCAAGCUGAUUAACUGUGAAUAAAAGAUGAGAAAUGACCUUUAAA